GCUUCGGUGGUGUAGUGGUAACAUACUAGCCUUCCAAUCAUUGAAUUGAGAGCUUGUGCCCGGGGUUCGAUUCCCCGUCGUAGCA
rnacentral:tRNA from 1 species